rnacentral:rRNA from 1 species
CAGCCGCCGCGGUAAUACGAAGGGGGCUAGCGUUGCUCGGAAUGACUGGGCGUAAAGGGCGCGUAGGCGGCGAUCAAAGUCAGGCGUGAAAUUCCUGGGCUCAACCUGGGGGCUGCGUUUGAUACUUGAUUGCUAGAGUGGGGAAGAGGGUCGUGGAAUUCCCAGUGUAGAGGUGAAAUUCGUAGAUAUUGGGAAGAACACCGGUGGCGAAGGCGGCGACCUGGUCCUUGACUGACGCUGAGGCGCGAAAGCGUGGGGAGCAAACAGGAUUAGAUACCCGUGUAGUCCCUGUCUCUUAUAC